UACGGAGGGUGCAAGCGUUAAUCGGAAUUAUUGGGCGUAAAGGGCGCGUAGGCGGCCUUGUAAGUCAAAGGUGAAAUCCCUCGGCUCAACUGAGGAACUGCCUUUGAAACUGCAGGGCUUGAGGCCGGGAGGGGGUAGCGGAAUUCCCAAUGUAGCGGUGAAAUGCGUAGAUAUUGGGAGGAACACCAGUGGCGAAGGCGGCUACCUGGACCGGUUCUGACGCUGAGGCGCGAAAGCGUGGGUAGCAAACAGG
rnacentral:rRNA from 1 species